rnacentral:rRNA from 1 species
GUCGAGAAUCUUUCACAAUGGGGGCAACCCUGAUGGAGCGACGCCGCGUGGAGGAUAAGGUCUUCGGAUUGUAAACUCCUGUCAUGCGUGAACAAGGUUGCUUGGUUAAUACCUGGGCAAAUUGAUGGUAACGCAAGAGGAAGAGACGGCUAACUCUGUGCCAGCAGCCGCGGUAAUACAGAGGUCUCAAGCGUUGUUCGGAAUCACUGGGCGUAAAGGGUGCGUAGGUGGCGUGGUAAGUCAGAUGUGAAAGCCCGGGGCUCAACCUCGGAACUGCAUCCGAUACUGCCAUGCUAGAGUACUGGAGAGGUGACUAGAAUUCUCGGUGUAGCAGUGAUAUGCGUAGAUAUCGAGAGGAAUACCAAAGGCGUAGGCAGGUCACUGGACAGUUACUGACACUGAGGCACGAAGGCCAGGGGAGCGAACGGGAUUAGAUACCCGGGUAGUCC